rnacentral:lncRNA from 1 species
CUACAGAUCAAAGGGCCUGGAUUCUUCAACAAAUAGCAUGGGAAUGACAAGAGAGCCCAUAUAUAACCACCGAACUGAAAGUAGGAGGGAGAGAUCUCGUCAAGAUGGCGGCAUAAGCACACUCUGAACUCAGCUCCUCCCAUGAACACAACCAGGUUACAACUAUUUUUGGAAAAAUUACCCUGGAUAGAAAACUGAAAACUGGAUAAAAAGAACUCCCACAAUAAGGGACAGUCCUGACUAAGGCAGAAGAGGCAGAAAUUCAUGCUGGAGAGGGAAAAAGCCACCUUUGGGAGCAGCGGAGCUUCUCAGCUGGACAGGCAGGAGCCACCCUAAGGUGUCCCAGAAGGAGGAGAGAGAGACAAAGGGGCAGAAAAUUUAUUUGAAAAAAUAAUAGAUGAAAAUUUUCCUAACCUAAGGAAGGAAAAUGACAUCCAAGUAUAGGAUGCACAGAGAGCUCCAAACAAGUUCCUUAGGCAGAAGAAAAAAAUGAUUCAAGAUGAAAGCAUGGAGAUUAAGGAAGAAAUGAAGCCUAGAAAGAAGAUUGACUUCAUUCAGCCCUGGACACUGCAUUUCACCUCCUUCGGCAUUGCUGUUCUUGUAAUUGCUAUCUUUCCACUUCCAAGAAGACGCUGUCUUGAAACUGAAGCUCUUCUUGGAUUCCCGGCUGCUUUGGUAGCUGAUUAAAAGGGGACACAAUGGUAAAACCAGGAACAUUCAUAUUACGUUUGAAGUCUAAGGAAUCAAAAUUGUUUUCAAAGUUGUAUUCCACUAUUUUUCAAAACAGAUCAUUGGAAACAAAAAUUGACAUAUGACAUAAAUACUGUACCUGAGGCUAAUCUCACACAAC